rnacentral:rRNA from 1 species
UACGUAGGGUCCGAGCGUUGUCCGGAAUUACUGGGCGUAAAGCGCGCGCAGGCGGCUUCCCAAGCGCCACGUGAAAGCCCCGGGCUCAACCCGGGAGGGUCGCGGCGAACUGGGAGCUUGAGGCCGGUAGACGGUGGGUGGAACUCCGUGGUGGAGUGGUGAAAUUCGUAGAUAGUCGAGGAAGAACGACCCGCUGGCGGAA